rnacentral:rRNA from 1 species
AGUGAACGCUGGCGGUACGCCUAACACAUGCAAGUCGAACGGCAGCACAGUAAGAGCUUGCUCUUACGGGUGGCGAGUGGCGGACGGGUGAGGAAUACAUCGGAAUCUACUUUUUCGUGGGGGAUAACGUAGGGAAACUUACGCUAAUACCGCAUACGACCUACGGGUGAAAGCAGGGGAUCUUCGGACCUUGCGCGAUUGAAUGAGCCGAUGUCGGAUUAGCUAGUUGGCGGGGUAAAGGCCCACCAAGGCGACGAUCCGUAGCUGGUCUGAGAGGAUGAUCAGCCACACUGGAACUGAGACACGGUCCAGACUCCUACGGGAGGCAGCAGUGGGGAAUAUUGGACAAUGGGCGCAAGCCUGAUCCAGCCAUACCGCGUGGGUGAAGAAGGCCUUCGGGUUGUAAAGCCCUUUCGUUGGGAAAGAAAAGCAGCAGGUUAAUACCCCGCUGUUCUGACGGUACCCAAAGAAUAAGCACCGGCUAACUUCGUG